rnacentral:lncRNA from 1 species
CCCCACGGACCCUGGUUUCUGAGAGUCUGUCUUUUUGCAUGCAUCUUUCCUCUCAGAGGAUGGACAUGACAUCAAAAAUCCCUCUGUCAGUGCCCGGCUCCCCCAUAGGAGCUCACAAAGGCCUGUAACAUACAUGACAUGGUGUCUGGUCCACAGAGAGCUCACAUGGACUUUCCUACAUGUACUUGUCCGGCUCUUAAAGGACCAGACAAGACGCGUGACAGAUAUGGGCUAUUGAAGUCGCCUCGGUCCACCCUUUCUGAAACAACAUGAAAAUAAUGCAAUGCGUCACCUUCGUGAAACUAGUGCAAUCACCCUAUCACAUAUAAACAUGAUGCAUGCAUAUGCUUUAGGCAUUAUAUUCCGUACAUAAAAGAUUAGGUUUAGUUCUACUCACCUGAAGCCACUGCUCAACAAAUUCAGGGUCAACUAGCACUGAAGCUAGACACCUCUCCUCAGGUCCAAUCCUACACAGAUGGACUCACAUGAGGUACUAAACACAUUCUAACAACUCAUAAGAAACUCCCCAAAAACCCCUCUAAACAUCACUGAAACAUGCAUAGAAAACAGCCAUGAAAAGGCUGGACAGGCACUUUCGGCGGCAN